rnacentral:rRNA from 1 species
GACGAACGCUGGCGGCGUGCUUAACACAUGCAAGUCGAACGGAAAGGCCCCCAUCUUGGUGGGGGUGCUCGAGUGGCGAACGGGUGAGUAACACGUGGGUGAUCUGCCCUGUACUUCGGGAUAAGCUUGGGAAACUGGGUCUAAUACCGGAUAGGACCAUGGUUUAGUGUCUCAUGGUGGAAAGAUUAUUGUUUUGGUGCAGGAUGAGCUCGCGGCCUAUCAGCUUGUUGGUGGGGUAAUGGCCUACCAAGGCGUCGACGGGUAGCCGGCCUGAGAGGGUGGACGGCCACAUUGGGACUGAGAUACGGCCCAGACUCCUACGGGAGGCAGCAGUGGGGAAUAUUGCACAAUGGGCGCAAGCCUGAUGCAGCGACGCCGCGUGGGGGAUGACGGCCGUCGGGUUGUAAACUCCUUUCGUUAGGGACGAAGCCGCACUUUUUUUGGGUGUGGUGACGGUACCUUUGUUAAGAAGCACCGGCUAACUACGUG